rnacentral:rRNA from 1 species
AGAGUUUGAUCAUGGCUCAGAUUGAACGCUGGCGGCAGGCCUAACACAUGCAAGUCGAGCGGAAACGAGUUAUCUGAACCUUCGGGGAACGAUAACGGCGUCGAGCGGCGGACGGGUGAGUAAUGCCUAGGAAAUUGCCCUGAUGUGGGGGAUAACCAUUGGAAACGAUGGCUAAUACCGCAUGAUGCCUACGGGCCAAAGAGGGGGACCUUCGGGCCUCUCGCGUCAGGAUAUGCCUAGGUGGGAUUAGCUAGUUGGUGAGGUAAGGGCUCACCAAGGCGACGAUCCCUAGCUGGUCUGAGAGGAUGAUCAGCCACACUGGAACUGAGACACGGUCCAGACUCCUACGGGAGGCAGCAGUGGGGAAUAUUGCACAAUGGGCGCAAGCCUGAUGCAGCCAUGCCGCGUGUGUGAAGAAGGCCUUCGGGUUGUAAAGCACUUUCAGUCGUGAGGAAGGUGGUGUAGUUAAUAGCUGCAUUAUUUGAAGGUUAGCGACAGAAGAAGCACCGGCUAACUCCGUGCCAGCAGCCGCGGUAAUACGGAGGGUGCGAGCGUUAAUCGGAAUUACUGGGCGUAAAGCGCAUGCAGGUGGUUUGUUAAGUCAGAUGUGAAAGCCCGGGGCUCAACCUCGGAAUAGCAUUUGAAACUGGCAGACUAGAGUACUGUAGAGGGGGGUAGAAUUUCAGGUGUAGCGGUGAAAUGCGUAGAGAUCUGAAGGAAUACCGGUGGCGAAGGCGGCCCCCUGGACAGAUACUGACACUCAGAUGCGAAAGCGUGGGGAGCAAACAGGAUUAGAUACCCUGGUAGUCCACGCCGUAAACGAUGUCUACUUGGAGGUUGUGGCCUUGAGCCGUGGCUUUCGGAGCUAACGCGUUAAGUAUACCGCCUGGGGAGUACGGUCGCAAGAUUAAAACUCAGAUGAAUUGACGGGGGCCCGCACAAGCGGUGGAGCAUGUGGUUUAAUUCGAUGCAACGCGAACAACCUUACCUACUCUUGACAUCCAGAGAACUUUCCAGAGAUGGAUUGGUGCCUUCGGGAACUCUGAGACAGGUGCUGCAUGGCUGUCGUCAGCUCGUGUUGUGAAAUGUUGGGUUAAGUCCCGCAACGAGCGCAACCCUUAUCCUUGUUUGCCAGCGAGUAAUGUCGGGAACUCCAGGGAGACUGCCGGUGAUAAACCGGAGGAAGGUGGGGACGACGUCAAGUCAUCAUGGCCCUUACGAGUAGGGCUACACACGUGCUACAAUGGCGCAUACAGAGGGCGGCCAACUUGCGAAAGUGAGCGAAUCCCAAAAAGUGCGUCGUAGUCCGGAUUGGAGUCUGCAACUCGACUCCAUGAAGUCGGAAUCGCUAGUAAUCGUGGAUCAGAAUGCCACGGUGAAUACGUUCCCGGGCCUUGUACACACCGCCCGUCACACCAUGGGAGUGGGCUGCAAAAGAAGUAGGUAGUUUAACCUUCGGGGGGACGCUUACCACUUUGUGGUUCAUGACUGGGGUGAAGUCGUAACAAGGUAACC